rnacentral:rRNA from 1 species
AUUGAACGCUGGCGGCAUGCCUUACACAUGCAAGUCGAACGGUAACAGGUCUUCGGAUGCUGACGAGUGGCGAACGGGUGAGUAAUACAUCGGAACGUGCCUAGUAGUGGGGGAUAACUACUCGAAAGAGUGGCUAAUACCGCAUGAGAUCUACGGAUGAAAGCAGGGGAUCGCAAGGCCUUGUGCUACUAGAGCGGCCGAUGGCAGAUUAGGUAGUUGGUGGGAUAAAAGCUUACCAAGCCGACGAUCUGUAGCUGGUCUGAGAGGACGAUCAGCCACACUGGGACUGAGACACGGCCCAGACUCCUACGGGAGGCAGCAGUGGGGGAUUUUGGACAAUGGGCGCAAGCCUGAUCCGGCAAUGCCGCGUGCAGGAUGAAGGCCUUCGGGUUGUAAACUGCUUUUGUACGGAACGAAAAGCCCUGGGUUAAUACCCUGGGGUCAUGACGGUACCGUAAGAAUAAGCACCGGCUAACUACGUGCCAGCCUCCGCCGUAACAC